rnacentral:rRNA from 1 species
CGCAAGCCUGACGGAGCAAGACCGCGUGGGGGAGGAAGGCUCUUGGGUUGUAAACCCCUUUUCUCUGGGAAGAACAAAAUGACGGUACCAGAGGAAUCAGCAUCGGCUAACUCCGUGCCAGCAGCCGCGGUAAGACGGAGGAUGCAAGCGUUAUCCGGAAUGAUUGGGCGUAAAGCGUCCGCAGGUGGCAGUUCAAGUCUGCUGUCNAAGACCGGGGCUUAACUUCGGACAGGCNGUGGAAACUGAACAGCUAGAGUAUGGUAGGGGCNNAGGGAAUUCCCGGUGUAGCGGUGAAAUGCGUAGAGAUCGGGAAGAACAUCGGUGGCGAAAGCGC